CCAAGGAUCACGGAGAGAAUUUGAUAAUAUAGCUAAUUCUUCUCAAUCCGAGAUUUUUACAUAGUUUUCUAGUUCUACACGUUUCAUUUCAAAUAGAUGUAUAAAACUAGCAACACUAAUGUUAGGUGACAUCUUAAAAGACUUGAGCUCUUUCAAUUUCUUUUCUCUUUCCCUUUGUAUUGCUCUUUCAUUCCAUAACAAAUUUUGUGUCGCCCUUGGGACACCAUUUCGUAUGAUCUCACGACCUCGAAAACAUGCCCUUCAACGAUGCGCCCUUCUACCUUGCCUCUUUGCUCGACAUUCAGAACUCCUACUUGGAGUGAUUCGAGUUUGUCCCCGUUAAGCCAUUUCUGAAAUACGAACUAAGAAAUAAUAAGAAUGAAUUUACCACUCUAUGUGACACAUAUGUCACAUUUAUUUGUAGAAUGCAAAGUCCGUUAAAGAAAAAAUAUGAACUAGUUAAGACAAGGAAAGAAAAAUAUCAAGUCAUAUAUAUAUAUAUAUUCUCUUAUGUAAUUUAUAAACAUGUCACAAAAUUGGUCAAUUCUAUUUUAAAACAAAAUCGUUUCUAUAUUUAUUUAGACAGAAUCCAAAAUAUGACUUUAAUAAUACACUUUUAGAUAUUAAAACAUUUAAAACAAUAGAAAAAGGCCGAAUAAAUAUUCUAAUCAUAAAAGAAAUUGAAUGAGAAAAAAAAAUUCUUUCUUUUAAAACUAAUUCCAUAUUCACUUCCAUGAUUUUCUAGAAAGAAACAUAGCACGAGUAAAUGAGAAUUAGAGUACUGCAAACAAUUAUUAAAAUAAAGAAAUACAAAGGAUGCUUUUCACUUUAUACAGUGCCCUUUCAACUGACCUUUCUAUACUUUUCAUUUAUCCGAAAGAAGAAAAAAAUGAAAUACACUGCAUUUGUUCUCCAUCAAAGUAAAAAUCAAGCAUAAACAAUUUUUUUUUCUCUUACUCGAUAUGAAAUAAUCUCAUAUCAGUAUAUUCAUUUCCAAAAGGAGAUACGAAGACUUUUAAACGCAGUAACAGAUUAUGACUAAAUUCAUUUUAUUUUCUCCAAAUUAAAAUUUAUAAUCAUAUCCACAACGAAAUCCGCCGCUCAAAGGUUGCGUGUUUGACCGGAUUCAGAACACAAUGGAGUCGCGUCUGUCGGCAGAUCAAAAGUUUAAGUGACCGAUUUUUGUCGGAUCUAAAAUUCUGAUUGCAUCCGGUUAUUUUUAUUUUCUUAUCAGGUAAGCACUUACAUAAUAUUUCAAGAUAUUUGCACAAUAAAAUUCAGAAUUUUUCAUGCAAAAUUAGGACAACCAAAAC
rnacentral:lncRNA from 1 species